CUGGGACACCAUCUCCACUUACAGAAGAGAUAAGGAGCGUUAAUUGACAGCUGGUUUUUUUUUUUUACUUUCCGACCACUGAUAUUAUACAUUCAAAUGAUCAGACCACCUGUUCUAACAUCUGAAAGAGGUUUUUAGAUGUACUCUGCUUUUGAAUAUCAAUAGGAGGAGGAAAUUGCCACCUGAGUGGCAGGCAGGCCGUGACAAGGUUUUCUCUCAACAAGCUGAUGACAGAAUAAUUUUUCCAAGUUGAUUGUUUGCCCCAUAUGGACCUCUGGAGAUCUUCAUACAGUGGAAAGAAGGAGAUCAAAAGGCUAGAAGAAAAAAGAGGCGGAGGACUGAAAAAAGCCAACAUAAAGAUCCUGCUCAGGCUCAGAGUGUUUUCUGAAAAAGUUCUGCAAGGCAGAGAAGUUGAACACUUGAUCACAUGCAGGAGCACAGGAUAGAUGGAGUACAGCUGACUCAACAGCUACAGGGAAUUUGGGUAAGUGCCCAGCAUGUC
rnacentral:lncRNA from 1 species